CUGCAUGUCCCAAGAGCAGACACACUGUACUUGCCGUGUGAGGUUAUAUAAGCAUUAUAUAAUAUGGUGGCACCAAUAACCACAUGGUUACGCAGGCACCAGAGACAAGCCAGGAUCUGGACCCAGCCCAAAAGCAGACCUUUUACUGGUAUAGGGAACUGCCAGUGAAGAAACUUCCCCAACUAAUGCAGAGAAGCGGCACUGGCUGUGGAGACAGAAGACCUGGGUUCAGAUCCCACCUCAGGACAAAUUACCCUUGUGACCUUGGGACUGCCGUGCAAAACCACCGACUCCACUCUAAAUAGACCCACCAGCUCCCAGAACUGACCAGCCUCUCUCCUGCGGGGCUCCAGCUCCGACGGUUCACAAGGAAGUAGCCAGCGGUGCCCAGAGCUGCC